rnacentral:rRNA from 1 species
UACGUAGGGGGCGAGCGUUGUCCGGAUUUAUUGGGCGUAAAAGGCUUGUAGGUGGCCACGUCAAGUCGGAUGUGAAAUCUCCCGGCUCAACUGGGAGGGGUCAUUCGAUACUGGCGGGCUCGAGGCCGGUAGGGGGAAGCGGAAUUCCCGGUGUAGUGGUGGAAUGCGUAGAUAUCGGGAGGAACACCAAUGGCGAAAGCAGCUCUCUGGGACGGUACUGACGCUGAGACGCGAAAGCGUGGGGAGCGAACAGG